rnacentral:misc_RNA from 1 species
UGCAAGCUUCCUGCAGGGGAAAACUGA